CCUACGGGUGGCAGCAGUGGGGAAUAUUGCGCAAUGGGCGAAAGCCUGACGCAGCGACGCCGCGUGAGGGAUGAAGGUCUUCGGAUCGUAAACCUCUGUCAGCAGGGAAGAACGGUCACGGUGCUAAGCAGCAGUGAAUUGACGGUACCUGCAAAGGAAGCACCGGCUAACGCCGUGGCAGCAGCCGCGGUAAGACGGAGGGUGCGAGCGUUCAUCGGAAUUACUGGGCGGAAAGCGCUCGUAGGCGGUAUGUCAAGUAAAGGGUGAACUCCCCGCGCUCAACGUGGGAACUGCCUUUGAAACUGGCAAACUGGAGUGUGUGAGAGGAUAGUGGAAUUCCAGGUGUAGGCGUGAAAUCCGUAGAUAUCUGGAGGAACAUCAGUGGCGAAGGCGACUCUCUGGCCCAUACCUGACGCUGCGGAGCGAAAGCGUGGGUAGCAAACAGGAUUAGAUACCCCAGUAGUC
rnacentral:rRNA from 1 species